AUCACUUCUCGGCCUUUUGGCUAAGAUCAAGUGUAAAUUCAUAAACCAGUGUGUUUAAAUUAGUUAUUGAUGGUGUAAACAUUUGGCGAAAGGCUGGACCCUCUAAAGCUGCAUUGGUAUCUGUGAGCUACAUAUGACCUUUUAAGUUUAAAUGAAUUAAAAUUAAAUAAAAUUUAAAAUUCAGUUCCUC
ensembl:snRNA U2 U2 spliceosomal RNA